rnacentral:rRNA from 1 species
UGGCGGCGUGCCUAAUACAUGCAGUCGAGCGGACAGAAGGGAGCUUGCUCCCGGAUGUUAGCGGCGGACGGGUGAGUAACACGUGGGUAACCUGCCUGUAAGACUGGGAUAACUCCGGGAAACCGGAGCUAAUACCGGAUAGUUCCUUGAACCGCAUGGUUCAAGGAUGAAAGACGGUUUCGGCUGUCACUUACAGAUGGACCCGCGGCGCAUUAGCUAGUUGGUGGGGUAAUGGCUCACCAAGGCGACGAUGCGUAGCCGACCUGAGAGGGUGAUCGGCCACACUGGGACUGAGACACGGCCCAGACUCCUACGGGAGGCAGCAGUAGGGAAUCUUCCGCAAUGGACGAAAGUCUGACGGAGCAACGCCGCGUGAGUGAUGAAGGUUUUCGGAUCGUAAAGCUCUGUUGUUAGGGAAGAACAAGUGCGAGAGUAACUGCUCGCACCUUGACGGUACCUAACCAGAAAGCCACGGCUAACUACGUGCCAGCAGCCGGGUAAAUAG